CUUUCCCUCUUUCCUUCGGUCUAACACAUGCAAGUCGAACGGCAGCACAGUAAGAGCUUGCUCUUACGGGAGGCGAGUGGCGGACGGGUGAGGAAUACAUCGGAAUCUACUUUUUCGUGGGGGAUAACGUAGGGAAACUUACGCUAAUACCGCAUACGACCUACGGGUGAAAGCAGGGGAUCUUCGUACCUUGCGCGAUUGAAUGAGCCGAUGUCGGAUUAGCUAGUUGGCGGGGUAAAGGCCCACCAAGGCGACGAUCCGUAGCUGGUCUGAGAGGAUGAUCAGCCACACUGGAACUGAGACACGGUCCAGACUCCUACGGGAGGCAGCAGUGGAGAAUAUUGGACAAUGGGCGCAAGCCUGAUCCAGCCAUACCGCGUGGGUGAAGAAGGCCUUCGGGUUGUAAAGCCCUUUUGUUGGGAAAGAAAAGCAGCAGGUUAAUACCCCGCUGUUCUGACGGUACCCAAAGAAUAAGCACGGGCUAACUUCGUG
rnacentral:rRNA from 1 species